rnacentral:rRNA from 1 species
GUACGGGGGGGGCAAGCGUUGUUCGGAAUUACUGGGCGUAAAGGGCUCGUAGGCGGCCAACUAAGUCGGAUGUGAAAUCCCCAGGCUCAACCUGGGAACUGCAUCCGAUACUGGAUGGCUUGAAUCCGGGAGAGGGAUGCAGAAUUCCAGGUGUAGCGGUGAAAUGCGUAGAUAUCUGGAGGAAUACCGGUGGCGAAGGCGGCAUCCUGGACCGGCAUUGACGCUGAGGAGCGAAAGCCAGGGGAGCAAACGGG